rnacentral:rRNA from 1 species
GACGUAGGGGACGAGCGUUGUCCGGAUUUAUUGGGCGUAAAGCGCGCGUAGGCGGCCUGGUAAGUCGGAUGUGAAAACCCGGGGCUCAACCCCGGGCCUGCAUCCGAAACUGCCCGGCUAGAGGUAGGUAGGGGAGAUCGGAAUUCCUGGUGUAGCGGUGAAAUGCGCAGAUAUCAGGAGGAACACCGGUGGCGAAGGCGGGUCUCUGGGCAACAACUGACGCUGAGGAGCGAAAGCGUGGGGAGCGAACAGG